UACGGAGGGGGCUAGCGUUGUUCGGAAUUACUGGGCGUAAAGCGCACGUAGGCGGCUUUGUAAGUUAGAGGUGAAAUCCUGGAGCUCAACUCCAGAACUGCCUUUGAUACUGAGGAUCUUGAGUCCGGGAGAGGUGAGUGGAACUGCGAGUGUAGAGGUGAAAUUCGUAGAUAUUCGCAAGAACACCAGUGGCGAAGGCGGCUCACUGGCCCGGUACUGACGCUGAGGCACGAAAGCGUGGGGAGCAAACAGG
rnacentral:rRNA from 1 species